UGGGGAAUUUUGGACAAUGGGCGAAAGCCUGAUCCAGCAAUGCCGCGUGUGUGAAGAAGGCCUUCGGGUUGUAAAGCACUUUUGUCCGGAAAGAAAUCCUUGGCUCUAAUACAGUCGGGGGAUGACGGUACCGGAAGAAUAAGCACCGGCUAACUACGUGCCAGCAGCCGCGGUAAUACGUAGGGUGCAAGCGUUAAUCGGAAUUACUGGGCGUAAAGCGUGCGCAGGCGGUUUGCUAAGACCGAUGUGAAAUCCCCGGGCUCAACCUGGGAACUGCAUUGGUGACUGGCAGGCUAGAGUAUGGCAGAGGGGGGUAGAAUUCCACGUGUAGCAGUGAAAUGCGUAGAGAUGUGGAGGAAUACCGAUGGCGAAGGCAGCCCCCUGGGCCAAUACUGACGCUCAUGCACGAAAGCGUGGGGAGCAAACAGGAUUAGAUACCCUGGUAGUCCACGCCCUAAACGAUGUCAACUAGUUGUCGGGGUCUUCAUUGACUUGGUAACGUAGCUAACGCGUGAAGUUGACCGCCUGGGGAGUACGGUCGCAAGAUUAAAACUCAAAGGAAUUGACGGGGUCAUAGCUGUUUCCU
rnacentral:rRNA from 1 species